CGGCCAUACCAAUACUUAUUGAUCGGAAAAGUAAACGAUUGGAACUAAAUGUAUUGAAUAAAAUACUUCUGAAAUGUCAGCAAAUUAUGUCAAGUUUAAUGGAGAGGAAUUUAUACAUCAAUAAACUAUAAAUCGGAUAUAUGGACAUACAAAGAGAAGGAUCGGUAUCAAUUUUACCUUACUUAAAAAAUUAUAACGUGGGGACUAUUAAAAUAAAUAAUUACUAAAUGGAGGUUAGUUAACAGAGGUAUUAAACAUUAAAAUUAAUCAGACAAUAAAAAUGACGACGUUUACUUCUACAGCUAGCACAACAGUAAAUACAACAGCCACUGAAUUGAUAUCCGACACCGACGACUCCGACGGAUGGAUAGAAUCCCCAACGCCGAGGAUAGUGUUUCUUUCGGUUUUCAUUUCAUUUGGAUUUUUUGGAAAUUUGUUCCUUAUCAUAACAGUGUGUCAGUCAAGGAAGUUCCGUUCAAUAGCAUUCUUUAUAUUUGUGAUACAUUUAGCUGUCAUAAAUUUAUGCGAAUGUGUAUUAAACAUGUCAGUGCUUUUGGCAUCAAGUAUUAUAAACGAAUGGAAGUUUGGAGAACUGGCAUGUAGAUUGAGCUCAUUUUGUUUGAAUUUAAUUGCUAUACAAACAGUCCUUAGUUUAACAAUCAGUACGGCAGACCGCCUGAUAGCCGUGCGCUACAAGGAACGGUACGAGCACGUGGUAUCAACGCCGAGAAUCGCGAUACUUAUUUCAUUCACGUGGUUGCAGUCGUUUUCAUUCAGUGUUCCGAUUGCAGUUGGUGUUGUUCCGACAAGUGUAAACUCUUACAUUGUUUAUUGUGCCAUAUCAACAAACUCAUCAGUUGUGUAUACCAUAUUUAGUAUUGUUCUAUGUUUCAUUGUUCCUUUUGUUUUAAUGAUUGUAUUUUUCGUCAAAAUCAUACGAACAGGUUAUUCAGAGAGAUUUCACAUUCGAAACAUUAUUGCACAACAUAAUUACAAUGAUGAAUCUGCAGAGGAGCCCCGAAUCAAGCAAGAUUUCCGGCAUGCUAAUUUGACGGGCACAAUUUGCAUAGCGUGGCUCAUUCUAGAAUCACCGCACGUGGUUACGUCAUAUUUCAACCAGCUUCAGAAUAGUUCUGAGGGCGAUAGUAUUGAGAGAGAGGAUUUACAAUACGUUUGGUAUGUGGACUUAGUGUUGCUAUGGUUACGAUUCUGUUAUGCAAUGGCACUUCCUAUUGCAUCAUUCACUUGGAGCAAGGACCUAUGGAAGAGUUUCAAAGACAUGAUUCUUUGUCGUAAAAAUAACUCGAUAGUUGAUGAAUCCUUCAAGAAAAAUGACAGCGACACUUUAAGGUUAGAAAAGAAAAUACGAGAAGAAAGAAUGAAAGAAAAGGAGGCUAUAAUAUCACCUAGGGAACAAAGGGUAUUCCAGGUCCCAGUGUUGUUUGCAACUUCACAUGGAGUACACAUACAGACUUCAAACAGUCAAACUGAAAUUAGUGACGAUGAUGAGGUGGAAAAUGAGCAGAGCAAGAGCACAAUAAAUGGCACGCUGAGAGGGAAGAAAUGUGAUGUUAUAGGUUCAAGAGACAAUCUGAACAACAUGGAAGAAGACACUAGUGAUUACGAUUCUGGAAACGAACUUGAUCCGUUUUCUGUUUCACAUCCAAUAUCAGUGAAACAAAUAAACAAGGAGAAUCUCACAGAUCGGAAGAGGUCACUAUCCGAGCCGGAGGUACGGGACAAGAUACAAGCAUUAGAUAAAAGUAGCAAUGGUCGAUCAGUUGGUUCAACGUCAGAGGGCGAUUCCGGUUUAGACCUUAGUACAUUGACAAAUGUGAAAACAUCAAAAAAAUUAUCAGUAUUCCAUGUGCCUAGUGAUAAGUUAGUUUUGCAUAACACAAACGACCAGCUUCAAACUGAAAUCAUGCAAAGUGGCUUUGUACCACCAUCUUUGAAUAUAUCUGGUGGGGAGAAGAAUAACGUGUAUGCUGAAUUUCCAGAUCAGGAUAAAGCAGUUGAAGAUGAUACAGUGUUAAAAAGUAAGGAAAGCGAUCUACGUUUUGAAUGUGAAAAAGGUGAAGGUAUUAAAAGCAAUACAAAAUCCUCUAAAAAGUCUCCGGAGAAAUCAUUGUCCGGUGCGACCGAAUCUCCAAUACCAAGAAGAAAGAAAAAGCGACGCAAAGAAAAGAAUUUUGAUACACAAAGUAUUACAUCAGCGACUUCCAUUGCGGGUAUUCCUCCUCGGCCGCCACCGAGACUGGCUCCCAUCACAACCAUUAAAACAUUGGCAUACGGGCCCGUUCGACCGGGUUCAAGUUGUUCGAGUCAGGUAUCCUUCACUGAUAGCAAUAUGGACGGCAGGCAAAGUGUACUGAGUUGUAACAGUUGUGGUGAUAUAACAAAACCGGAUGCAAUGUCGCUUGACAAUCUUUCAGUGUCUUCUUUGAAUACUCGGAAACACAAAAAGAGUGGGAAAUUCAAACAGAAUCUCUUGCAUGAAACUUUCAGUAAUCAUUUAUUGAACGAGAAUGAGAUUCUAACUUUGGAUUUAAAACGAGAAAUCAAAAGUGUUCCAGAAGAAGUGCUCACACCGUCAGACUGUAAUUUUGAAGAUAGGACUCCAGAAACUCAUAAACUGUAUCCAGAAACUGGAAUCCAAACCACUGAAACAGGGAUAGUGAAUACCGGGUAUGAACAGUGUUCAAAUGACGAUACCACAAAUGCGAUUCAAGAAGAGACACGAAUCAGAAACAACGAAGCACGAAGAAAGCGAAGGGAGAAACUGAUGUCUACCAAGGAGAAAAUAUCACCUUCAGUAUUGCUCAACGAUGGGAAAGGAUACCAGAGACUUGUCCCAGAAACUCCUUAGAAGGGGUACACAAUGGGCACAAAGACACGACAAGCACCUGCGAUAGAUCCUAUGGAAUGUGUGUUGAGUCACAUUUCAGGACAAAAGAAGAACAUAUGUAUCAAAACAAUUAAAUCAGGGAAAACCUUCAACCUCAUAUUACAACUACACAGUGAUUACUCCCCAACAUUGAUUACUCUAUGAUUACAUCGCGGUGAUUAAAUCACAUUGACUACUCCGUGGUGACUACAUGUACAUCAAAGUGAUUACUCCGCAGUAAAUACUCCACAGUUAUUACAUUACAGUGAUAAUGAUUACUUCACAGUGAAGAAAGUGCAUUGGAUACAUCACAGUGAUUAUUCCGCCGUGAUUAGUCCGCAAAUAUUACUCCGUAUUGAUAAACUCAUUAGUGGUAAAUCCACAGCGAUUACUCCGCACUCACAAUAACACCGUGCGUACUAUACAGUGAUAACACCGCAGUAACUUCACCGUGAUUGCUUCACCAAUUUAAAUGCACGGUUUUCACGCAUCACUAUAAGUAUGAGCUUCGUCAAGAUAUAGCAUUGUAUACAGUAACCUCCGUAGACUGACCACCUCCCUACAGUGACAGAUAUGUUUGCGCGACCAUUCCGCGAAGAAAUUAAUCUAAGGACUACAGCCUUGUACUGACAUUUGCAUUCGUGUUUUCUCUAGCGCUGUUAUUACUUUGUUUACAUUGUUAUUGCUCAUUGGAUACAUUCACAUUUUCACUGGAUGGUGCGUUUUGCAUGUUUAUCUUUUUAUUACAGACUUACAACAUAAUGACAUGGUGCUUCUUGCGAGAAAAUUUAAAUUUAAAACAUUUCAAUGACCAUAUAGAAUUAUUGAAAUACGCCUUCUAUUUUUUCGAGUUUAAAUUAAAGGUUAAAAUCUAAAAUUGUCCGACACCUUUAUUAUUAAGGGGUAAAAAAUGGCUUUGAUUAUAUUGUAGCUGUCACAUUUUGCCAUACAAUAUAAUAAGUUAUUAUUAUUUCCUAUUGUCAGUGUUAUCUUACACAUUUGUUCUGGGUUUGAAUAUUCGAUUAACAUUGCAGAUGUGUUAUUGAAUCCAUUUUUUCUUAUUACCUCCCUUUAAGUUCAUGCGUAGUGUUUUUCCAACCAUGUAAUUAUGCAUAAUAUUUGUGACUACAUUUCAGUUUGAAGACAAUAUAUAUGGACUGAUUUUGAAGUGUUGCUAUGAGCUACAGUACUGUAAUAAAAUUAUUACUGUUUUUUUCAGAAAAUAAGUGCCUAUACUGAAACUGAUAUGCAGUUUAUAUAUUAAUUAACGUACCUUUCAUCUUUUCAGUAUUUACUACCGGUAGUAUUUAGUACUUUUUAGCACAGUAAACAAGUAAAUAUCUACAUUGAAUUGCGCAAGUAAAAAUUAUAUAACAAAGAUUAGCAUUUGGUGUCUUCGUAAAAGAAAUGAUUUGGUAAACGAGACUGUAUACCCUAUUCUUUGACAAGUUUAUUUGUGAUAAUGCUAAUUUUUCCAAACAUGUAUUAUAUAUGAAUUACAAUACUGUUUUUAUUUAACGGAACCACAAGCGUAAACCUCUCCUCGUUUUGUUUGUAAGUUAUACACUUGACAACAAAAAGAAUUAUACUAUUGUUUUAAAAUUAGUACAAAUGUGUGUUUCUGGACAGUUUCACUAAAUCUGUAUAUACGGCACAUUACAACUUGAAGAAAAAAUGCAACAAUGUUGUCUUCAAACUCAGCGCAGCGAUUACCUCCCAUUGUAGUUACUGUAAGGGAAGAUAACUUCUUAAAGGUCCAUUACUAAGGGAAAGUGAGUUGGCAAUUUUUUUCAUAGCUAGUGCAUAGACUUCUGCAAGACACUAAAUAAUGAAGAUUGGCAGGUCAAAAUUUACAGAAGGUCUUUGGAACUCAAAGAAAUGUAUGUGUAUUAUUUUGAAAUUUCAAUGAAUCGACAAUAAAGACCCCCCAGGUCUUUUUAACUUUCUUCAUACUUCAUAGAAAAAUAAUUGUACAUAUACUGCGAUUGAUUUCGAAUUUCUACAAACCAACUUUCAUUUUCCAAUAAAAUGAAAUAGUUUCUGUGCUUUUUAAAAGAAAUUAAAAUGUUCACUUUCCUUAGUAUUGGACCUUUAAAAUAGAUUCUGCAGUCAUGUGAAACCAUCCUUGAUAUUACAAAAGAUUAUUUAUUUUGUUGUUUAUUACCUUUCACUGUUUGAGUUAAACUCUUUAUUUUUUGGUGACGUUUUAGUGUACCAAGUACUUGUAUAUGGCUAAAGAUGUUUUGAAUAUUUUGUAUAAAUAUUAUAUUAUGCCUCCCAACUUUUGUAAAAAGUUUAUUUAUAGUACUCUGUGUUUCACAUUGUUGAAUUUUGGAUAUUUUGUUAUAAAAUGAAAUAAAAUUGAGAAAAGAUGUUUU